AGGCAGACCUGAAGAUUGCCGCCUCCAAACCCAACCAACUGUGACCGUGUACACCCAUUGAACCGAAAACUCAUAUAGAGAAAGCGGACCACAUAGAGAUUUACUCUCCAGAGACAGACCUGCAAGAGAAAAGGCAGACCGAGGGCCCAACUACCGCACAUACACUAGAACAGAACCGCACCACCAUAGGAAAACAAUACCAAAGCCACAAACUUUAUUGUGGAAAAAGCGGACAGAACGGAGAUCACACUGUCGAGAUUGCUAAACGGAGGCCCAGAAUUAGAACACCACCAGCGAGACGCCGGAGUUGCCUUAACCACGCCGUCACGACGCCCUGCCACUCGCGCUGCCACCACACACGCGCCGCCGUCAUGCACCUGCACCUCCAAAGCGCGUGUCACUAGAGAACAUCAGGAGCAGAAGCCAAAGCCUCAUCACCACAAUGAAACUCUCACGCCUCCACCAGAUCCACAGUAGAUAAAAGCAGAGAUCUUCAGAUCCGCGAAAUCAUCCAACCAAACCACCGGAACCCUAACACCACCGCUGCGCCACCAACCAGAGGAACACAAGGCUCAGACGAGGCUUCACGACAUCACACUUGAGGAAACACCGAAGGCAGAGAAAAUAAGAACCGGUCAGAGAUACCAUCAGAUCCAAAAGCUAAGCGGAGGGGGGGGGGGAGCAGUCACCGUCCUCUAGCAACGCCACCACCCGGAGCUCGCGUCAAGAUCCACCGAAAUCGCCAGAUCUGAGACCGCUUCAAACCUUAAGGAGAACCACCCCACUGCCGAAGAAAGAGACACAAAUGAGGAGACUAGAAACACACGAGCAUGUAACCAGAGCCCGGCGGUCGCGUAGAGACCGGCCCCCGCCGGAAAACGAAGAGCGAAGUUUGAAACCCUAGCGGCGGCGCUUGUGGAGAGAAGAUGGAGUAUAACGUUUUUUUCUUUUUGCUAAGAAGUAUAACGUAAUUCGUUAUCAAUGAAAACCCUUUUUUCAAAAGAAAAACUAGAAUCGAACCCGUGCAUUAGCGCGGUAAUAUUUAAUUUUAUUAGUAAAUUUAAACUGAUACGAAAUAAGUAGUUAAUAUUUUGUUAAACGUUUUGUGUUAUCAAAGAAAUCUACUUAGAGAUGUUACAUUCG
rnacentral:lncRNA from 1 species